rnacentral:lncRNA from 1 species
GCGAAGGUUAGGCUCAUGACCCCCAUAUUCGGUCAGGGACCAAAGAGUUGCCGUGGGAAUCCACUUGGUGUGGUUUGCUUGGAUACCACACUAUUCAUUGAAUACUUAUAUUUACAAGUUUUAGCGGUUAUGGGUUCAUUGUUAUAAUAUUUCCAUCAAACAUACAUUAACAGGAAAUAAUUACUUGUGAAUUGAAGCCAAAAAUUUACUGUUGUUAUCUUUACUUUCCUUCUCCAUCAUUGUCUAUUUUCUUUUUUGUCGAUCUUAGAUGCUAAGGCAGUUUCUGCAGGUAUAUUGAAUUUUUUUGAUGAAUGUCAGUCCCUAUGGUAAUAGCUCUCUUUGGCAGCCUCUUCCUGUCGCCAAUGAUGGUUAAACCAUCCCGAGGCUGAAAUAAAUUGGUUUAGUCUACUACAGAAUCCGCAGUGGCAGUAGUGCAGUGGAUUAUUGGUAAUUUUCAUCUCAACUGAAAGAAGACCAACUUCGUCAGGUUAAAAUAAUUAGUUCCUAUUUGUAGUUAUAGAAUACACUUGGCUCAUUCACCUCAUUAAUUCUUUGGUGGCCAAAUCUAGCUCUCUUUGUGGAUUGGGGUUAUGUUCGUCAAAUUGUCUGCAAUUAAAUGUUUUUGGGCGCAACACCUUCAUAAUGUUAUUUUCAGAGUUUUUUUUUAAAAAUUAAAAGCUUGAUUGUCCUUCCAUUAAACUGUCGUUUUUUAGAAUAAAAAAUAAUAAAUAAGGCAUCAUUCACACAUGCGCGGCACACAUUCAAAAACGACUACUUCAAAAAGGCUUGGAUGUUCAAUGCACUUGUGAAUUGUAUGUUAAUUUUAUUCAGAUGUAUAGCGAAACCAAAAACCAGGGAAAAUUAACACAUUUAACAACGUUUAACGUCAGUAGAAUCUUUUUACUUUUUGUUUCUAAUACGCAAGUUCAUUGCAUGAUAUCCAUGCGAUAUCUUCAGUUGUGCUUUGGAUUUAUUAGACAAUAGGAUGUGCCUUUAUAUAAACUAAUGCAUGGCAGUUUUUGUGAAUUGGCAUAAUGUUCUAAUGCCCGCCAUGUUUGCAUGUGAAUAAGAAACAACGGUUUUGUUUUCCAUUGAUUUCACAAAGUUAUUUUUUAAGUAAUGUAACUGUCCUUACUGACAAGAAUUAUAGGAUUGGUGAUUUACUGAUAUGGAUAUACGGCAACGACCAGCCAGCAGGAUGAGUGGACCUUAGAGUCCCCCCCCCCCCUUCUCAGGGGAAGUUAGAAGUUUUUUUGUUGAGUAAUCUACAUAUCACAUGAAAGAAGACCAGCUUUCGUCAGUAACAAUAAUAAUUCCUACUUUAUAGUUAUAAAUCCAAUUGGUGUUUUUUGUUCGAUGAUUAGCUUUGGAAUUAUGUUAUUAAAUAUGUUUUCGUUUACUUUCUCAUUUUGUUGUUUCUGAAUGCGUGAAGUGCUGAACUAUUUAGGUUAUAAAAUAGUUGUCCGGAUCAAUUUUUCAGUCAGGGACUGGGGGUGAGUUUGGCACACGGGGGCUUCCAAACUUAAACUCAGAGCCUUGGUUUCAAAAUUUUAAAGUUGCUUUGUAUUGGAGAUCCAUACUAAUUUACUGCUGCAGUUUUUUUUAAAAAAAUAAAAAUCCUUGCAUAUUUUACAACGUUUACACUAUUAACCAGAUUCAGUACGAAAUAUUUUUUACUUUUUUUCUAUACAGGCAAGUUCAUUGCAGGAUAAUGAAAGACUUUUUCUGCAAGCUCUUAAUUAGUAUUUUGCAUUUUGUUGAUUUACAUAUUUGAAAUGUUCGAUGGAUAAAAAACUGAAACGCUCCGCUUUUUCUUUAUUGCAAAUCUACCCAUCGAGGUGAUACUUCAAAGGUUAAUAAAGAACAUCAAAUUUUUUUAGUCCCUUGCUUUAAUAUCUAUUUAGGUAUAAAGUAUGUUAAUUUUUAGCAAGAGGCAUUGCAUGAAUCCACAAACACGAUUUUCUUUCUGCCUCCUCCGUUGUGUUUUUGAAUUUGUUAGGAAAAUAGAGGGGAUUGUACUUUCAUAAAAAGCUAAUUCAAAGAAUUUUUGUGAAGUUGACCAUGAUGUUACUAGCCCUCCAGAAGAUGGUUUGCUGGGCGGUGACACUUGCACAUUCAUGGGUAAUACUCAUCUUCUUAGUAGCCAUUAUCUUUUUUUCCUUAUUCCAACAAACACGCACAAUACUUAUUCUUUGAAGUACAUUUUGAUUAGAGUACCUUUUAACUAUUUAGAUCAAUUUUUUUUAAAAAAUUAUUUACUGGUAUAAAAAAAUAAGUAGUUUACAAAUAAAUUGUAUUUUAAGGAAAAAAAUAGCAUUUAUUUAUUUAAUGUGUGUAUCGAGAAAAAAAAUUUAGAAGCCUAAAUCUAAGGAUAAAUUUGUCAUUUUUGUCAAAAAAGUAGAUAAUGGAAAAAUUUUGAUAAUAAUUUUGAAAGUAGAGGAGGCCAACACAAUUUUUAAAAUUACAGAGACCCUAUUUUUCAAAAACUUUGGGAGGUCAG